UUGCUGGAAUGAAAGGUCUAACGAAGGUUCAGCUGUCUCUGCCUUAUAUAUUAAAUUUACAUUUUAGGUGAAGAUGCCUAAUUAUUAAUGAAAGACGAGAAGACCCUAUAGAGCUUGAAUUAAACUUUUUUUUAUUAGUUUCUAUUUAUUAGGUUGAAUAAUAUUGAUUGAUUAAUUUUUCGUUGGGGUGACAUUUAAAUUUUAUUUGGUUUUAAAAUACGAUAAAAAUACUUUUUAAUUUAUAAUAAUUUAUUUAAAAUGAUCCAAUAAUAUUGAUCUUAGGACUAAGUUACCUUAGGGUUAACAGCAUAAUCUCUUUUGAGAGUUCUUAUCGACGAAGAGGAUUGUGACCUCGAUGUUGGAUUA
rnacentral:rRNA from 1 species